rnacentral:tRNA from 1 species
GAGAGAGGCUUGCAACAACGAAAACUGCUAAUUUCCGUAACCUUGGUUAAACUCCAAGGCUCACUCG